rnacentral:RNase_P_RNA from 1 species
GAGGAAAGUCCGGGCUCUACUUAUAAAAAUAUAGCUGUAUAAAUACAGUGUAGGUAACUAUGAGGAUCGUGCCACAGAAAUAUACCGCCUAUUUUAGGUAAGGGUGCAAUGGUGUGGUAAGAGCGCACCAGAAAUAUUUUUAAGAUAUUUGCUAGGUAAACCCCAUAUAUGAGCAAAGUAAUCGAUUUUAUAUGAGUUUUAUAUGUCAUAUGAAUUGUUUUAGACUUAUUGAUAUACUGCACUAGAAAGUAAAGUAUAUAUUUUACUUAAGAUUAAUAAUUACCCUUUUUAAUAACUGAUUUUAUCAUUUUAAUCAAUAUUAUAUAAAGAACAAAACCCGGCUUAU